GGUUGUUCUGAUGGGAGUGGGUUAUCAGAACUUAUUAACAUUAGUGUUACUAAAGUUGGUAUACAGCCCCCCACUGCUAAAUUUGACUGGCUUUUA
ensembl:Y_RNA Y_RNA Y RNA